GCCUGUGACGCAGUGGUAGUGCGACUGCAUGAGUCGCAGAAGGUUCCGGGUUCGAUUCCCGGUGGGUCA